rnacentral:rRNA from 1 species
UACGUAGGGUGCGAGCGUUAUUCGGAAUUACUGGGCGUAAAGCGUGCGCAGGCGGUUUUGUAAGUCAGGGGUGAAAGCCCCGGGCUUAACCUGGGAAUGGCAUUUGGGACUGCAAGGCUUGAGUGCGGCAGAGGAGACUGGAAUUCCUGGUGUAGCAGUGAAAUGCGUAGAUAUCAGGAGGAAUACCGAUGGCGAAGGCAGGUCUCUGGGCUGACACUGACGCUCAUGCACGAAAGCGUGGGGAGCAAACAGG